AUGGACACAUGUGAGGCUGGAAAGGAUUCGGAGCCGAGGGGCGCGGCGUCUCAGGCUGAUGAUGCCACCGUGGACGGGAAGAUGACAUUCCUGCAGCACCAACUCAGACAAGAAAUGGAGAUGCACCUUAGAGAGGGCCGGACCAGUGUGGAGCAGAACCAGGAGCGGGUCAGCAGGAUACUUCAUCUGAGGGAAGAGCUGAGGAGAGAGGAGGCGAGGAUGAAGGAGGCAAACCCCAAACCUGAGCAGUCGGGUGCCACCACUCGCACUUUAGAGGAAUCGUCGCAGGCUGAGUAUUCAAACAUGCUGCAGCGCAGACGCAAGAUGAAGGAGGAUCAUGGGAAGGUCAUCGAGGAAGAGCUGCUGAAAAUGGAGCAGGAUCUCGGGGAAGAGAGGAUGGAGGGACCAGAAGCAGAGCGCAAGUUCGCCGCUCGUGAGAGGCAGCUGCUGCUCCUGCAGGUGGAGGCGCUGCGCAGGGAGGCGGAGCUUGCUGAGAGGGAGCUGGAGAUGCAGCACGUACGACACCAGCAGGAGAUACACAAUCUCAGGGAGGAGAGCCUGCAGGUUGGAUCCUAAAGACUGGGUGAAAUCAGCCAUAUACGGCCCCACCUGACCCGCUACCCAAAAUGUCAUUUUAAGUUAUUGUAUUGGUAUUAAUUGUAUAUUUAUUGCUGUAAAUAACCUUUCCUUUAAAGUUCAUCUGGGGAAUUAUCCCCUUUCUACUUUGAGGUUUUCCGAACGUUCCGGCAG
ensembl:lncRNA trichohyalin-like